rnacentral:lncRNA from 1 species
AAGGGAGAGAGGGAUGGAGGGAGGGAAGAAGGAAGGAAGGACGGACCAGCCUGUUAGGCUGACUGACAGAGUACCCCCUGUCCUCCAAUGCUGCCCACGGCAGGCAUGUGGCAGUGGCUGACAGGGAGUGAGUCUGGAAGCGACCCUUGUCGGGGCAGCCUCCUUGGUCCUGUGAUUCAAGACAGGGUGAAAGUCAGUGGCGGCCAUUGGUGCCUCUGGCCGGGGUUCCUCACAGGGGCCCGCAAGGGGACAGCGAAUGGAGCGUGGAGGGUGGAGGGCUCCUUCUCCAGACCGGAGCGAUGGGUUCGGGAGCCAUUCUGUGCCUGUCUUUGCUGCUGGGCUGAGGAGCUGGAUGGCAUGCUGGGAGUAGUGGGAGCUGCUGAGGAGUUUGGUCCUGGAGCGAAGAGGCUGAAUCCGCAUGUCUGGAGUCACCGUGGAGGGCACAGCUAGAGGGAGCAGCAGGGUGUCCCAGGGAGAAGACACCAGGGCUGGAAUUAGAGGGACAUCAAGGCUGAUACUUAGAGGCAUCCAAUAUAUGGGGCCUGCCUGAUGGGCUGCUCUCAGGUGGGAUUUGGGGGGUGUGAGAGGGGUCAGUGCCCAAAUGACCAUGGGGUCCGUGGCCUGUAUGCCCAGUCAGGUGACGACGCCAUUCAGAAAGUAGAUCUCAUGGGGUGCCCGGCUGCUGAGUCUCAGGCCAGAUCUGCAGUGAGUGUGCUGCCCCAGGCGUGGAACACUCUGGUGCCAUCGGGACCCAAGGCUGAGUGCACCCAAGAGCUGUGGGUCUGAAACAGCGGUCAGAGGUCACUGACAUGUGGAGGAGGCCCCUGGAGUGUGGGAGACAGAAUCCCCAGGUGUCAGGCUUGGCAGGAGGCUUUGCAGGUGGGGAGGAAGGGCAGGUAGCGUGGCUGCCGGAGGAGGGAGGGCACUGGUAGGAGGAGGGUGGCCUGUCCCGGGCAGACCAGCCUCUUUGGGCUGUGUGGCCCCAGCUCCCUGAGCCCAGAGGGAGGUGAGGGUGAGAAGGCCUGGACCAGGCAGGACGCAGCCCCCAGGGCCCCUGCUGGGAAGAGGUCAGAACCUCCCAAGGACCCAGAAGGCCAGAACACACUAGAGGGUCCCGGCAUCCUGAUGAGUCCACUGUCCCCGCGAUGGUUUUCAGGGAUGGAGAAGGCUCCCUGUCCUCCGCUGGAACCCUGCAGCCGGGCUGACGAGACCCCAGCGAGACCUGCAGAACAUUACAGCAGAAUGAAGGAGAGCCAGAGGAAGAGGCAGAUGUGCUGGCCUGUAAACAGUCUGAUUUCCAAUGUAAACCAGAUUCAGGCCCACGACAUCAGUGCUCAGAAGCUGCAGACACUAUGGAACCGCUUUUCAGGCCCCGUGGCCGUCACCCCCGCUCUAGAGACUUGAUUGCAGGGACCAUGCCCGGCCGGCCUAACUGCACCCCUCACUCCAGUCUCUUCUCACGUGCACGACCUCACAGCGCUGUCACAAGGCCUGCUGGGCACACGCAGCUCAUAGAGAAGUGAUGGCUUCCUCCUUGCCCCCUCACCUCCCUCCUUCCCCUCUCCCCCUCACUUCGGAGCACGCAGGCUGAUUGUGGAGACAUCUCCCAGCCAGGAUGUGUCAACAGGGAAUGUGCUGGGGACAGCGGGAGUUCACAGCCACCCCCGCAGGCGCCUUCCUGGAGCACGUCCACAGGCCAUGUGCAGCUGCAUCCCCCACGACGGCAGGGACAAGUUCCUUCCAUAGGGCCCGGGUGGCCCCCAGAGCUGCACCAUUUAUGAUCCGGUCCUUUGCAGAACGCAAGGGACAGACACAUGAACCCUGACCUAGGUUCUUGUGCAGAAAUGUUCUCUCAUCGGAAUAGAAAGGUAUGAGUCUCAGGACUGGUUCUCUGCAAAGCAGCCAUCGGCCUUUCAAGCAGAAACCAUGGAGCCCCCAGAGGCUGAGUCUUCCAAGGCGCUGGGAGACUUGGCGUUUGCCUCUUUUUUAAAUGCAAUGACCGUUGCAGUGCAUGGAAUCAGAGACAUGUAUCUAUGCGUAGAAAUGAGUCUGUAAACACGAUCAAGGUGUGAUUUCUGUAUGACAAUGCAGUUGGAUCAGAAAUUGGAGAGUGCUGGCCGGGCGCGGCGGCUCACGCCUGUAAUCCCAGCACUUUGGGAGGCCGAGGCGGAUGGAUCACUUGAGGUCAGGAGUUCGAGACCAGCCUGGGCAACAUGGUGAAACCCCAUCUCUACUGAAAACACAGAAAUUAGCCGGGUGUGGUGGCGUGUGCCUGUAGUCCCAGCUACUCGGGAGGCUGACGUGGGAGGAUCACUUGAGCCCAGGAGGCAGAGGCUGCAGUGAGUAGAGAUAGCACCACUGAACUCCAGCCUGGGCAACAGACUGAG